rnacentral:misc_RNA from 1 species
UGGCUCUGGCAUCGAUGAAGAACGCAGCGAAAUGCGAUAAGUAAUGCGAAUUGCAGAAUCCAGUGAAUCAUCGAAUCUUUGAACGCACAUUGCGCCCGCCAGCAUUCUGGCGGGCAUGCCUGUCCGAGCGUCAUUUCGACCCUCGGGAGCCUCCCGCGAGGGGGGCGCCCGGCGUUGGGGCACCCGGGGCGAGAGCCCCGGCGCCCCGAAACAGAUCGGCCGGCGCGCCGGGAGGCCUAGCGUAGCGAAUCUCACUCGCCAGGCGCUCCCCGGCGGGCCCAGCCGCCCCAACAGACCAGUGGUUGACCUCGGAUCAGGUAGGGAUACCCGCUGA